rnacentral:rRNA from 1 species
UACGAAGGGGGCUAGCGUUGUUCGGAAUUACUGGGCGUAAAGCGCGUGUAGGCGGGUCUUUAAGUCAGGGGUGAAAUGCCAAGGCUCAACCUUGGAACUGCCUUUGAUACUGGAGACCUUGAGUCCGGGAGAGGUGAGUGGAAUUGCGAGUGUAGAGGUGAAAUUCGUAGAUAUUCGCAAGAACACCAGUGGCGAAGGCGGCUCACUGGCCCGGAACUGACGCUGAGGCGCGAAAGCGUGGGGAGCAAACAGG